rnacentral:lncRNA from 1 species
GUUUUGACAAUCGAUUGUCAUGGUCCAGUAACUUAAAUUUUUUUUUUCAUAAAACCAAACAAUCGAUUGUCUGGCUUUGACAAUCGAUUGUGGAUGGUCCAGUAACAAAAACUUUUUCAGAAAACCAAACAAUCGAUUGUCUGGUUUUGACAAUCGAGUGUUGGUCCAGUAAGGUUAAAAACGUUUCAACUCUCUUAAGUUUCAUUGAAUGUUAAUU